rnacentral:rRNA from 1 species
CGUAGGGUGCAAGCGUUAAUCGGAAUUACUGGGCGUAAAGCGUGCGCAGGCGGUGAUGUAAGACAGAUGUGAAAUCCCCGGGCUCAACCUGGGAACUGCAUUUGUGACUGCAUCGCUGGAGUGCGGCAGAGGGGGAUGGAAUUCCGCGUGUAGCAGUGAAAUGCGUAGAUAUGCGGAGGAACACCGAUGGCGAAGGCAAUCCCCUGGGCCUGCACUGACGCUCAUGCACGAAAGCGUGGGGAGCAAACAGGAUUAGAUACCCUGGUAGUCCACGCCCUAAACGAUGUCAACUGGUUGUUGGGUCUUUACUGACUCAGUAACGAAGCUAACGCGUGAAGUUGACCGCCUGGGGAGUACGGCCGCAAGGUUG